rnacentral:rRNA from 1 species
ACGCUCGACACCUACGGAGGCAGCAGUGGGGAAUAUUGCACAAUGGGGGAAACCCUGAUGCAGCGACGCCGCGUGAGCGAAGAAGUAUUUCGGUAUGUAAAGCUCUAUCAGCAGGGAAGAAAAUGACGGUACCUGACUAAGAAGCCCCGGCUAACUACGUGCCAUCAGCCGCGGUAAUCUGAGCGGGCUGGCAAGGC